CUUUUCUAUUCUCCUCCCCAGCCGCCAUUCACAUCCGGCCGCCAGGAAGCACCGGCGCCUGGACGACGGCGAGCCUCUCUUUUCCCUUCUCUGUCUUCUGUUUUCGUUCUAUCAGCUGCGCAGAACUUCAGCCGCCAAGGAACUCUGGUUCUUGGCCGACCGCGCGCUGCUUCUUCCUCUCUGUUUUUUUUUUCUUUGCCGCGCUCGUCCGGCCGCAAGGAGGCUCCUAGCUGACCGCGACGUGGUUAUCCUGACCGAGCGGUUCCCUGGCUGACCGAGUGAUCUCUCUGUUCUUCUUUUUCUUAAAAAAAUGAGCAUGGCCGACCGCACUUGUUGCUCUAAUUAUGUCUUUUCUUUCUUUCCCUGUCUUUGUUUUUGUGCGUUCUCUAGCAUCUGGCCACUAGUUCACUGGAGCACAUGCAGUUCAUUCGUUACACCACUGGCCAUACAGCCAUAUGCCUCACGGUCUCUCUCUUUUUUUUUUUGCAUCACUUGAACUCAGCCGAAAAAUACCGUGGUGCUCAUGGCCGUUUCUGGUUACACUUAUACUCAUAUCCAGCCUCAUGUAUUCGAUCCCUCUCUUCUGUGUGAAUGUAUGUAUGAGAUGUGUUAUAAUUUAUGGGAUCGAGUACGGAGGUCUAAAACGUGGAUGUAGUUCACUUUGCGUUUUUUUUCCUCUGAUUAACGCGUGGAUCCAGUCACUCGAUUAAACGAACAGUGCUCUGUGCACUUUGACUGAUCCGGAUUUAGGGUUAAUUUAAUUAGGGUUGAGCCCUAACUGGAUCUGUGUUUCUGUUACUUGACUUUGUUUGUUGGCUGUGGAUCGUUGGAUCCUGAGCCUUGUGCACCGUCUGGUUCAACUGAUUAGGGUUAGGUUAUUAAACCCUAACCCUGAAAUAACGGUGCGUUUUGCUCUCGGUUUCCAUGGGUUCGGUAGACCCUAACCCGAGAGAUCUAAAAUUCUUUCUCUCUGUUCACGGGGUGAUGAACGAUGAUAAAAAAAAUGAGUUCAUUCAUAUUGAUUCGAGACCUUUCUGUGAUCUCAUAAGACUGAUGCGGAUCAUAAGACUGAUGCGGAUUAGGAGAUCUAGGUUUCUUAGGACGCCUCUGAUACCAUUGUUAGAAUCUAUUCUAUCUAGGAUCGAUUCCUAAGUCCCUAGAAUACCAAUCCGUAACUGAAAGUAAAACCUUGAUGACGUGUAGAUCUGAUCUACUGAUCUAUUGAGAGGAACGGGGAAACACACCUUUGUUGUUGUUGCUAUCUUCAUACCGUCGCCCUGCAGAGAAGUAGCAGGCAUUGGGAUCCGAGCCGCUGUAGGUUGUCGCGUUUCCAAACACUCCGACGCCUAGGCGAUGGGGGCCUCUGAGGACUAGGGUUUUGGGGCGAGGUACUAGCGUUAGUCUUUCCUGCGACCCCUUAGUCCUAUAUAUAUAGCAUCGUGUGUCUGGGGGCUCCAACCGAGGUUAGCAUGGGCCCUCCCGAUCAAGGGCCCGAUUAAAGGAACGAUAGUUGGGUUAAGCCCAAUCCAGUCUCUAUUGACCGGCUGUAGAGGACACACCCAACAAUUAUCAGGAUAAGAAGGGUUGAAUCGUGUUCCAGCAACAAGUGGCAAGGGUCAGGUUCCCAAGACCACCAGUUGCAAGGAGAGAAGCAAAAUUUGGGGGCUGCAUCAUCGAUUGUGCAUGACGAGCGAUCGAGGGCGACUCCAAUAUAAUGGCGACCCAUGCUACAUUUGCACUUAAUCUCCAGUAGGGCCCAACAACAAAAACAAUCCUUGGCGACGGCGACGGUGUGAUAAUACUCCAAGAUGAAUUAUGAAUAAUUAUUAUUCCCUUGGAGAUG